CCCUUAGAUGUUCUGGGCUGCACGCGCGCUACACUGAAGCUAUCAACACGUUUUCCCUCCCUGAGAAGGGCGGGUAACCUUUUGAAUCAGCUUCGUGGUAGGCAUCGGGGCUUGCAAUUGUUCCCCGUGAACCAGGAAUUCCUAGUAGACGCGAGUCAUAAGCUCGCAUCGAUUAAGUCCCUGCCCUUUGUACACACCGCCCGUCGCUACUACCGAUUGAACGUUUUAGUGAGGCAUUUGUACCGACGCAUCUCAGUUUAACCGCUGGUUUGUGUUGGAAAGACUUCCAAACUUGAGCGUUUAGAGGAAGUAAAAGUCGUAACA
rnacentral:rRNA from 1 species